CCUACGGGAGGCAGCAGUGAGGAAUAUUGGUCAAUGGACGAGAGUCUGAACCAGCCAAGUAGCGUGAAGGAUGACUGCCCUAUGGGUUGUAAACUUCUUUUAUAUGGGAAUAAAAUGUUCCACGUGUGGGAUUUUGUAUGUACCAUAUGAAUAAGGAUCGGCUAACUCCGUGCCAGCAGCCGCGGUAAUACGGAGGAUCCGAGCGUUAUCCGGAUUUAUUGGGUUUAAAGGGAGCGUAGGUGGAUUGUUAAGUCAGUUGUGAAAGUUUGCGGCUCAACCGUAAAAUUGCAGUUGAAACUGGCAGUCUUGAGUACAGUAGAGGUGGGCGGAAUGCGUGGUGUAGCGGUGAAAUGCUUAGAUAUCACGAAGAACCCCGAUUGCGAAGGCAGUUCACUGGACUGCAACUGACACUGAGGCUCGAAAGUGUGGGUAUCAAACAGGAUUAGAUACCCUUGUAGUC
rnacentral:rRNA from 1 species